GACGUAGGGUGCAAGCGUUGUCCGGAAUUAUUGGGCGUAAAGAGCUCGUAGGCGGUUUGUUGCGUCGGCUGUGAAAUCCCGAGGCUCAACCUCGGUCUGCAGUCGAUACGAGCAAACUAGAGUGUUGCAGGGAGACUGGAAUUCCUGGUGUAGCGGUGAAAUGCGCAGAUAUCAGGAGGAACACCGGUGGCGAAGGCGGGUCUCUGGG
rnacentral:rRNA from 1 species